rnacentral:tRNA from 1 species
GCCCCCGUAGCUCAACUGGAUAGAGCAGCGAGCUUCUACCUCGCAGGUUGCAGGUUCGAGUCCUGUCGGGGGUGC